rnacentral:tRNA from 1 species
GCAGGGUUAGUUCAUUGGUAGAACGACGGCUUCCCAAGCCGUAGAGGCGGGUUCGAUUCCCGUACCCUGCUCCA